UUGGCGGCCUUCCUCCUUAUCAGAGGAACUCGUAUCUUUAUCCGAUGACCCGCGUUAAUUUUAACUUUUUCUUAAAGCCUUUAUAUCGCCGUCUAUAUAAAAAUUUUAUCUCUUAUUAACAAAGAUUUUCUUCUCUACGUCAGGUCAAGAUAAUGCCUAUGAAAAAGGGAGCCGAGUUACUUAUUUUUUGUAUUAAUUUUGAAAGAUUUCAAAAAAUUUUCAACAUAGGAUUUGAUAGUAAACUUUUGGAAUUUCCUAAAUUUGAAAAAGUUCAUAAAGGUGUACAUAUCGCCCGUCACCCUCGUCAAAAGAUGAGGUAAGUCGUAACACAGUUAAUGUAUUGGAAAAUGCAUUAAGGG
rnacentral:rRNA from 1 species